rnacentral:rRNA from 1 species
GACGAACGCUGGCGGCGUGCUUAACACAUGCAAGUCGAGCGGAAAGGCCCUUUCGGGGGUACUCGAGCGGCGAACGGGUGAGUAACACGUGAGUAAUCUGCCCUUGGCUUUGGGAUAACCACCGGAAACGGUGGCUAAUACCGGAUACGACCACUCCCGGCAUCGGGUGGUGGUGGAAAGUUUUUUCGGCCAGGGAUGUGCUCGCGGCCUAUCAGCUUGUUGGUGGGGUAAUGGCCUACCAAUGCUUCGACGGGUAGCCGGCCUGGGAGGGUGACCGGCCACACUGGGACUGAGACACGGCCCAGACUCCUACGGGAGGCAGCAGUGGGGAAUAUUGGACAAUGGGCGGAAGCCUGAUCCAGCAACGCCGCGUGAGGGAUGACGGCCUUCGGGUUGUAAACCUCUUUCAGUACCGACGAAGCGCCGAUGAUGGCGGUGACGGUAGGUACAGAAGAAGCACCGGCCAACUACGUGCCAGCCGCCGCAGUAA